CUACGGGAUGCUCCAGUAGGGAAUCUUCCGCAAUGGACGAAAGUCUGACGGAGCAACGCCGCGUGAGUGAUGAAGGCUUUCGGGUCGUAAAACUCUGUUGUUAGGGAAGAACAAGUGCUAGUUGAAUAAGCUGGCACCUUGACGGUACCUAACCAGAAAGCCACGGCUAACUACGUGCCAGCAGCCGCGGUAAUACGUAGGUGGCAAGCGUUAUCCGGAAUUAUUGGGCGUAAAGCGCGCGCAGGUGGUUUCUUAAGUCUGAUGUGAAAGCCCACGGCUCAACCGUGGAGGGUCAUUGGAAACUGGGAGACUUGAGUGCAGAAGAGGAAAGUGGAAUUCCAUGUGUAGCGGUGAAAUGCGUAGAGAUAUGGAGGAACACCAGUGGCGAAGGCGACUUUCUGGUCUGUAACUGACACUGAGGCGCGAAAGCGUGGGGAGCAAACAGGAUUAGAUACCCCAGUAGUC
rnacentral:rRNA from 1 species